CGGCGUCGGAUGCCCGAAAAAGCCCGUCGGUCAUGGCAGCGCAAUGAGUUUUACUCGUGACGCCGUUCUCUUCAAAUCGACUGCUCGCGGGCCUAAUUCUGAGGUCGGAGCCCAGAUAUGCGGUUUACCCGAUACGCGCGUCGCUCCAGCUCCUCUUCAACUGCUUCCGACGUCACCCCGAGGAGCCCGUCUCCAAUUAACUAGGUGCCGGAAAAGAGCGGGACCGACGCACUGCCGGAAUUAUCGGGGGGUUUUUUCGCGCUCAAUUGUCGUUAGGUAGGCCAUAUGGCAUGGCUCAAACGUGGCUUAUAUGCUUUUAGGCGUUGUAAGCUAACGGAUGCGAUCAUACCAACUCACAUGCACCGGAUCCCAUCAGAACUCCGAAGUUGAGCGAGUUUGGGCGAGAGUAGUACUAGGAUGGGUGACCUCCUGGGAAGUCCUCGUGUUGCAUCCCCUCUUUUUGUCUUUUUGACGUUUCAAUUGUCGUGGGCGUUUGCUUUCUGUCGUCUUAUUCAUCUGGCUGUCUCUGUUUUUCCACGACCCCGUGACGCAGCGUGGCAAUCGGGGGUAAAGUACGCUUAAACACUCGUCGAAACCCCGCAAAGGAAUCAAAAUACGAAAAUGACAAAGUUUCCCAAAACUGAAUUUCGCCCCAGCAAACGGCGUCGGAUGCCCGAAAAAGCCCGUCGGUCAUGGCAGCGCAAUGAGUUUUACUCGUGACGCCGUUCUCUUCAAAUCGACUGCUCGUGGGCCUAAUUCUGAGGUCGGAGCCCAGAUAUGCGGUUUACCCGAUACGCGCGUCGCUCCAGCUCCUCUUCAACUGCUUCCGACGUCACCCCGAGGAGCCCGUCUCCAAUUAACUAGGUGCCGGAAAAGAGCGGGACCGACGCACUGCCGGAAUUAUCGGGGGGUUUUUUCGCGCUCAAUUGUCGUUAGGUAGGCCAUAUGGCAUGGCUCAAAACGUGGCUUAUAUGCUUUUAGGCGUUGUAAGCUAACGGAUGCGAUCAUACCAAAUCACAUGCACCGGAUCCCAUCAGAACUCCGAAGUUAAGCGAGUUUGGGCGAGAGUAGUACUAGGAUGGGUGACCUCCUGGGAAGUCCUCGUGUUGCAUCCCCUCUUUUUGCCUUUUUGACGUUUCAAUUGUCGUGGGCGUUUGCUUUCCGUCGUCUUAUUCAUCUGGCUGUCUCUGUUUUUCCACGACCCCGUGACGCAGCGUGGCAAUCGGGGGUAAAGUACGCUUAAACACUCGUCGAAACCCCGCAAAGGAAUCAAAAUACGAAAAUGACAAAGUUUCCCAAAACUGAAUUUCGCCCCAGCAAACGGCGUCGGAUGCCCGAAAAAGCCCGUCGGUCAUGGCAGCGCAAUGAGUUUUACUCGUGACGCCGUUCUCUUCAAAUCGACUGCUCGUGGGCCUAAUUCUGAGGUCGGAGCCCAGAUAUGCGGUUUACCCGAUACGCGCGUCGCUCCAGCUCCUCUUCAACUGCUUCCGACGUCACCCCGAGGAGCCCGUCUCCAAUUAACUAGGUGCCGGAAAAGAGCGGGACCGACGCACUGCCGGAAUUAUCGGGGGGUUUUUUCGCGCUCAAUUGUCGUUAGGUAGGCCAUAUGGCAUGGCUCAAACGUGGCUUAUAUGCUUUUAGGCGUUGUAAGCUAACGGAUGCGAUCAUACCAACUCACAUGCACCGGAUCCCAUCAGAACUCCGAAGUUGAGCGAGUUUGGGCGAGAGUAGUACUAGGAUGGGUGACCUCCUGGGAAGUCCUCGUGUUGCAUCCCCUCUUUUUGUCUUUUUGACGUUUCAAUUGUCGUGGGCGUUUGCUUUCCGUCGUCUUAUUCAUCUGGCUGUCUCUGUUUUUCCACGACCCCGUGACGCAGCGUGGCAAUCGGGGGUAAAGUACGCUUAAACACUCGUCGAAACCCCGCAAAGGAAUCAAAAUACGAAAAUGACAAAGUUUCCCAAAACUGAAUUUCGCCCCAGCAAACGGCGUCGGAUGCCCGAAAAAGCCCGUCGGUCAUGGCAGUGCAAUGAGUUUUGCUCGUGACGCCGUUCUCUUCAAAUCGACUGCUCGCGGGCCUAAUUCUGAGGUCGGAGCCCAGAUAUGCGGUUUACCCGAUACGCGCGUCGCUCCAGCUCCUCUUCAACUGCUUCCGACGUCACCCCGAGGAGCCCGUCUCCAAUUAACUAGGUGCCGGAAAAGAGCGGGACCGACGCACUGCCGGAAUUAUCGGGGGGUUUUUUCGCGCUCAAUUGUCGUUAGGUAGGCCAUAUGGCAUGGCUCAAACGUGGCUUAUAUGCUUUUAGGCGUUGUAAGCUAACGGAUGCGAUCAUACCAACUCACAUGCACCGGAUCCCAUCAGAACUCCGAAGUUAAGCGAGUUUGGGCGAGAGUAGUACUAGGAUGGGUGACCUCCUGGGAAGUCCUCGUGUUGCAUCCCCUCUUUUUGUCUUUUUGACGUUUCAAUUGUCGUGGGCGUUUGCUUUCCGUCGUCUUAUUCAUCUGGCUGUCUCUGUUUUUCCACGACCCCGUGACGCAGCGUGGCAAUCGGGGGUAAAGUACGCUUAAACACUCGUCGAAAGCCCGCAAAGGAAUCAAAAUACGAAAAUGACAAAGUUUCCCAAAACUGAAUUUCGCCCCAGCAAACGGCGUCGGAUGCCCGAAAAAGCCCGUCGGUCAUGGCAGCGCAAUGAGUUUUACUCGUGACGCCGUUCUCUUCAAAUCGACUGCUCGUGGGCCUAAUUCUGAGGUCGGAGCCCAGAUAUGCGGUUUACCCGAUACGCGCGUCGCUCCAGCUCCUCUUCAACUGCUUCCGACGUCACCCCGAGGAGCCCGUCUCCAAUUAACUAGGUGCCGGAAAAGAGCGGGACCGACGCACUGCCGGAAUUAUCGGGGGGUUUUUUCGCGCUCAAUUGUCGUUAGGUAGGCCAUAUGGCAUGGCUCAAACGUGGCUUAUAUGCUUUUAGGCGUUGUAAGCUAACGGAUGCGAUCAUACCAACUCACAUGCACCGGAUCCCAUCAGAACUCCGAAGUUAAGCGAGUUUGGGCGAGAGUAGUACUAGGAUGGGUGACCUCCUGGGAAGUCCUCGUGUUGCAUCCCCUCUUUUUGUCUUUUUGACGUUUCAAUUGUCGUGGGCGUUUGCUUUCCGUCGUCUUAUUCAUCUGGCUGUCUCUGUUUUUCCACGACCCCGUGACGCAGCGUGGCAAUCGGGGGUAAAGUACGCUUAAACACUCGUCGAAAGCCCGCAAAGGAAUCAAAAUACGAAAAUGACAAAGUUUCCCAAAACUGAAUUUCGCCCCAGCAAACGGCGUCGGAUGCCCGAAAAAGCCCGUCGGUCAUGGCAGCGCGAUGAGUUUUACUCGUGACGCCGUUCUCUUCAAAUCGACUGCUCGCGGGCCUAAUUCUGAGGUCGGAGCCCAGAUAUGCGGUUUACCCGAUACGCGCGUCGCUCCAGCUCCUCUUCAACUGCUUCCGACGUCACCCCGAGGAGCCCGUCUCCAAUUAACUAGGUGCCGGAAAAGAGCGGGACCGACGCACUGCCGGAAUUAUCGGGGGGUUUUUUCGCGCUCAAUUGUCGUUAGGUAGGCCAUAUGGCAUGGCUCAAACGUGGCUUAUAUGCUUUUAGGCGUUGUAAGCUAACGGAUGCGAUCAUACCAACUCACAUGCACCGGAUCCCAUCAGAACUCCGAAGUUAAGCGAGUUUGGGCGAGAGUAGUACUAGGAUGGGUGACCUCCUGGGAAGUCCUCGUGUUGCAUCCCCUCUUUUUGUCUUUUUGACGUUUCAAUUGUCGUGGGCGUUUGCUUUCCGUCGUCUUAUUCAUCUGGCUGUCUCUGUUUUUCCACGACCCCGUGACGCAGCGUGGCAAUCGGGGGUAAAGUACGCUUAAACACUCGUCGAAACCCCGCAAAGGAAUCAAAAUACGAAAAUGACAAAGUUUCCCAAAACUGAAUUUCGCCCCAGCAAACGGCGUCGGAUGCCCGAAAAAGCCCGUCGGUCAUGGCAGCGCAAUGAGUGGGCCUAAUUCUGAGGUCGGAGCCCAGAUAUGCGGUUUACCCGAUACGCGCGUCGCUCCAGCUCCUCUUCAACUGCUUCCGACGUCACCCCGAGGAGCCCGUCUCCAAUUAACUAGGUGCCGGAAAAGAGCGGGACCGACGCACUGCCGGAAUUAUCGGGGGGUUUUUUCGCGCUCAAUUGUCGUUAGGUAGGCCAUAUGGCAUGGCUCAAACGUGGCUUAUAUGCUUUUAGGCGUUGUAAGCUAACGGAUGCGAUCAUACCAACUCACAUGCACCGGAUCCCAUCAGAACUCCGAAGUUAAGCGAGUUUGGGCGAGAGUAGUACUAGGAUGGGUGACCUCCUGGGAAGUCCUCGUGUUGCAUCCCCUCUUUUUGUCUUUUUGACGUUUCAAUUGUCGUGGGCGUUUGCUUUCCGUCGUCUUAUUCAUCUGGCUGUCUCUGUUUUUCCACGACCCCGUGACGCAGCGUGGCAAUCGGGGGUAAAGUACGCUUAAACACUCGUCGAAACCCCGCAAAGGAAUCAAAAUACGAAAAUGACAAAGUUUCCCAAAACUGAAUUUCGCCCCAGCAAACGGCGUCGGAUGCCCGAAAAAGCCCGUCGGUCAUGGCAGCGCAAUGAGUUUUGCUCGUGACGCCGUUCUCUUCAAAUCGACUGCUCGCGGGCCUAAUUCUGAGGUCGGAGCCCAGAUAUGCGGUUUACCCGAUACGCGCGUCGCUCCAGCUCCUCUUCAACUGCUUCCGACGUCACCCCGAGGAGCCCGUCUCCAAUUAACUAGGUGCCGGAAAAGAGCGGGACCGACGCACUGCCCGAAUUAUCGGGGGGUUUUUUCGCGCUCAUUAGUCGUUAGGGUAGGCCAUAUGGCAUGGCUCAAACGUGGCUUAUAUGCUUUUAGGGCGUUGUAAAGCUAACCGGAUGCGAUCAUACCAACUCACAUGCACCGGAUCCCAUCAGAACUCCGAAGUUAAGCGAGUUUGGGCGAGAGUAGUACUAGGAUGGGUGACCUCCUGGGAAGUCCUCGUGUUGCAUCCCCUCUUUUUGUCUUUUUGACGUUUCAAUUGUCGUGGGCGUUUGCUUUCCGUCGUCUUAUUCAUCUGGCUGUCUCUGUUUUUCCACGACCCCGUGACGCAGCGUGGCAAUCGGGGGUAAAGUACGCUUAAACACUCGUCGAAACCCCGCAAAGGAAUCAAAAUACGAAAAUGACAAAGUUUCCCAAAACUGAAUUUCGCCCCAGCAAACGGCGUCGGAUGCCCGAAAAAGCCCGUCGGUCAUGGCAGCGCAAUGAGUUUUGCUCGUGACGCCGUUCUCUUCAAAUCGACUGCUCGCGGGCCUAAUUCUGAGGUCGGAGCCCAGAUAUGCGGUUUACCCGAUACGCGCGUCGCUCCAGCUCCUCUUCAACUGCUUCCGACGUCACCCCGAGGAGCCCGUCUCCAAUUAACUAGGUGCCGGAAAAGAGCGGGACCGACGCACUGCCGGAAUUAUCGGGGGGUUUUUUCGCGCUCAAUUGUCGUUAGGUAGGCCAUAUGGCAUGGCUCAAACGUGGCUUAUAUGCUUUUAGGCGUUGUAAGCUAACGGAUGCGAUCAUACCAACUCACAUGCACCGGAUCCCAUCAGAACUCCGAAGUUGAGCGAGUUUGGGCGAGAGUAGUACUAGGAUGGGUGACCUCCUGGGAAGUCCUCGUGUUGCAUCCCCUCUUUUUGUCUUUUUGACGUUUCAAUUGUCGUGGGCGUUUGCUUUCCGUCGUCUUAUUCAUCUGGCUGUCUCUGUUUUUCCACGACCCCGUGACGCAGCGUGGCAAUCGGGGGUAAAGUACGCUUAAACACUCGUCGAAAGCCCGCAAAGGAAUCAAAAUACGAAAAUGACAAAGUUUCCCAAAACUGAAUUUCGCCCCAGCAAACGGCGUCGGAUGCCCGAAAAAGCCCGUCGGUCAUGGCAGCGCAAUGAGUUUUGCUCGUGACGCCGUUCUCUUCAAAUUGACUGCUCGCGGGCCUAAUUCUGAGGUCGGAGCCCAGAUAUGCGGUUUACCCGAUACGCGCGUCGCUCCAGCUCCUCUUCAACUGCUUCCGACGUCACCCCGAGGAGCCCGUCUCCAAUUAACUAGGUGCCGGAAAAGAGCGGGACCGACGCACUGCCGGAAUUAUCGGGGGGUUUUUUCGCGCUCAAUUGUCGUUAGGUAGGCCAUAUGGCAUGCCUCAAACGUGGCUUAUAUGCUUUUAGGCGUUGUAAGCUAACGGAUGCGAUCAUACCAACUCACAUGCACCGGAUCCCAUCAGAACUCCGAAGUUAAGCGAGUUUGGGCGAGAGUAGUACUAGGAUGGGGACCUCCUGGGAAGUCCUCGUGUUGCAUCCCCUCCUUUUGUCUUUUUGACGUUUCAAUAGUCGUGGGCGUUUGCUUUCCGUCGUCUUAUCAUCUGGCUGUCUCUGUUUUCCACGACCCCGUGACGCAGCGUGGCAAUCGGGGUAAAGUACGCUUAAACACUCGUCGAAACCCCGCAAAGGAAUCAAAAUACGAAAAUGACAAAGUUUCCCAAAACUGAAUUUCGCCCCAGCAAACGGCGUCGGAUGCCCGAAAAAGCCCGUCGGUCAUGGCAGCGCAAUGAGUUUUACUCGUGACGCCGUUCUCUUCAAAUCGACUGCUCGCGGGCCUAAUUCUGAGGUCGGAGCCCAGAUAUGCGGUUCACCCGAUACGCGCGUCGCUCCAGCUCCUCUUCAACUGCUUCCGACGUCACCCCGAGGAGCCCGUCUCCAAUUAACUAGGUGCCGGAAAAGAGCGGGACCGACGCACUGCCGGAAUUAUCGGGG
rnacentral:lncRNA from 1 species